UCCUCUAAGAUUAGGAACAAGAAAAGAAUGCCCACUCUUGACCAUUUCUGUUCAACACAAUAUUGAAAGUCCUGGCCAG